AUGACAAGGAAAACUAUAAAGCAGCAGGGUCUAAGCUCAGCAUCCCCUUGGAGAGAUAACCGUUCUUGAUGAUUUUGUAAUUUCCAAAGUUGUGAAGACCUGUAAAAAGAAAAAAAAGAAAAGAAAAGAAAACAAGAAUUAUAUACAAUCUGUGAAAAUCUUGGCAGUCAUCUAUAGAAACUCAAGAAUUUUUGUGGCUUAAAAACAACAACAAAAGGGAAAUGGAAGAAAUCCUGAGUUCCAGUCUCAGAUCUGCCCUUGACAAGAUGUAUCAGCUUAGGCAAGUUCCCACAUUUUCUGGACCUUUCUUUCUCUGGAAAAUAAGGUGCCUGAACUUGAUAAUCUCUAAGGUCCUUUCACAACCUUUUAUCCCCAUGCCAGAAUUAUUCACUUUAAAAUGAAUGAAUAAGAGACAAAUUAUUAAGCA